UACGGAGGGGGCUAGCGUUGUUCGGAAUUACUGGCGUAAAGCGCACGUAGGCGGCUUUGUAAGUUAGAGGUGAAAGCCCAGGGCUUAACCCUGGAAUUGCCUUUAAGACUGCAUCGCUAGAAUCGUGGAGAGGUGAGUGGAAUUCCGAGUGUAGAGGUGAAAUUCGUAGAUAUUCGGAAGAACACCAGUGGCGAAGGCGACUCACUGGACACGUAUUGACGCUGAGGUGCGAAAGCGUGGGAGCAAACAGG
rnacentral:rRNA from 1 species